GACGAACGCUGGCGGCGUGCUUAACACAUGCAAGUCGAACGCUGAAGCUUGGUGCUUGCACUGGGUGGAUGAGUGGCGAACGGGUGAGUAAUACGUGAGUAACCUGCCCUUGACUCUGGGAUAAGCCUGGGAAACUGGGUCUAAUACUGGAUACGACAUGUCACCGCAUGGUGGUGUGUGGAAAGGGUUUUCCUGGUUUUGGAUGGGCUCACGGCCUAUCAGCUUGUUGGUGGGGUAAUGGCUCACCAAGGCGACGACGGGUAGCCGGCCUGAGAGGGUGACCGGCCACACUGGGACUGAGACACGGCCCAGACUCCUACGGGAGGCAGCAGUGGGGAAUAUUGCACAAUGGGCGGAAGCCUGAUGCAGCGACGCCGCGUGAGGGAUGACGGCCUUCGGGUUGUAAACCUCUUUCAGCACGGAAGAAGCGAAAGUGACGGUACGUGCAGAAGAAGCGCCGGCUAACUACGUG
rnacentral:rRNA from 1 species